ACAAGCAUCAGAACCCUCAGGAACAGCAGAACCAGAAAGCCCAGUCCUUCCACUGACUCCGAUCCAGUCCUUCUAGGACAGCCUGGACUUGGUGGAUGUUCUGAGACAUUUAAAAAAUUACUAGGCCAGGCACGGUGGCUCAUGUCUGUAAUCCCAGCACUUUGGGAGGCCGAUGCAGGUGGAUCACGAGGUCAGGAGAUCGAGACCAGCCUGGCCAACGUGGUGAAACCC
rnacentral:lncRNA from 1 species